UACGGAGGGUGCGAGCGUUGUCCGGAAUCAUUGGGCGUAAAGGGCGCGUAGGCGGUCUCUUAAGCGUGUGGUGAAAGCCCGGGGCUCAACUCCGGGUCGGCCGUGCGAACUGGGAGACUGGAGCUUGUCAGAGGCAGGCGGAAUUCCGGGUGUAGCGGUGGAAUGCGUAGAGAUCCGGAAGAACACCGGUGGCGAAGGCGGCCUGCUGGGACAGUGCUGACGCUGAGGCGCGACAGCGUGGGGAGCAAACAGG
rnacentral:rRNA from 1 species